rnacentral:rRNA from 1 species
CACGUAGGAGGCGAGCGUUGUCCGGAAUCAUUGGGCGUAAAGAGCUCGUAGGCGGUGUGUCGCGUCGGCCGUGAAAACCUGCAGCUUAACUGUGGGCGUGCGGUCGGUACGGGCAUCACUGGAGUUCGGCAGGGGAGACUGGAAUUCCUGGUGUAGCGGUGAAAUGCGCAGAUAUCAGGAGGAACACCGGUGGCGAAGGCGUGUCUCUGGGCCGAUACUGACGCUGAGGAGCGAAAGCGUGGGGAGCGAACAGG